UGAACGCUGGCGGCAGGCCUAACACAUGCAAGUCGAGCGGAUGACAGGAGCUUGCUCCUGAAUUCAGCGGCGGACGGGUGAGUAAUGCCUAGGAAUCUGCCUGGUAGUGGGGGACAACGUUUCGAAAGGAACGCUAAUACCGCAUACGUCCUACGGGAGAAAGCAGGGGACCUUCGGGCCUUGCGCUAUCAGAUGAGCCUAGGUCGGAUUAGCUAGUUGGUGAGGUAAUGGCUCACCAAGGCGACGACGGGUAGCCGGCCUGAGAGGGCGACCGGCCACACUGGGACUGAGACACGGCCCAGACUCCUACGGGAGGCAGCAGUGGGGAAUAUUGCACAAUGGGCGCAAGCCUGAUGCAGCAACGCCGCGUGAGGGAUGAAGGCCUUCGGUUGUAAACCGUCUUUAGUCAGGAAGAAGCGAAAGUGACGGUACCUGCAGAAAAGCAACCGGCUAACUACGUGCCAGCAG
rnacentral:rRNA from 1 species